CAGUACUAUACGGGUUCCUGCAUAGGAUACCAGUCCAGGCACCUCGGCUGCAGCACAGAUAUCAUCAGUACCCCUUAAAACGGGGAGACACGCCUAACACUCAAGAGGGUCACCAGCUUUUAUGUUCCUGACUUUCUACAAGUUUCCGGGUACAGUACACCUGUUGUCAUUUGAAGACUAUUUGUGGAACCACAACAUAAGAGUCCAACUGGGAAAGAACAAGAAGAUUCAUUAGACUCAUACCACAGUGCCAACCCAAUUGCUUAUUAGAGGAUUCACUUAUCUGGUGAGAAGAGUGACAAUAUUUAAAGCCAUGGAUCCUAAAAGCACUGCAAUGGAGGUUUCCCCAACAGGAACAUUGGGGGGGAAUAUCAGCUCAUUUGGACUCUCUGCACUCAGUAGUUGUACCAUCUGUGAUAUUUGUAGCAGCUAUGUUGUGGCAGACAACUGUUCUAACUACCCCUUCUGUG